GCGAGCGUAGCUCAGUUGGUUAGAGCAUCAGAUUGUGGAUCUGAUGGUCGCGGGUUCGAGCCCCGUCGCUCGCCCCA
rnacentral:tRNA from 1 species